rnacentral:rRNA from 1 species
AUGUUGCAGACCUUUUCUGAUUGCAUGGCACAGAAGCAUCCGAUAUCUGUGAUCACAGAUGGGGACCUUGCAAUGCAGAGAGCAAUAAGGGUGGUCUGGCCAGACACAAACCAUAGACUAUGUAUAUGGCACAUUCAGCAGAACAUUGUACGCCAUCUACAUGAUGACGACGUAAAGGAGGAAUUCAGAUCUUUCAUUUAUGAUACUUCUUCCAUUGAAGAGCAUGAGAUAAAAUGGAUACAAUUCUUACAACGGAAUAAAGUAACCAGUGAGGAGUCUUGGCUGCAUCAGAUGUAUCAGAUGAGAAAGUUGUGGUGUGCUCCAUAUCUUGAGGGGCGUUGUUUCCUAGGAUUGAGCAGCAAUCAGAGGAGUGAGAGCUUGAACUCUGUGCUACAUACGCAUCUUGAGGGUAAGAUGUCGUUGUUUGAAAUGCUAGAGCACUAUGAGCGUUGCCUUGCGUCGCGACGGAUUAAUGAAGCUCUCCAUGACGUCGAAGCCUUGCAGUCCGUUCCAUUUACAGAG